CUUGAAUGACUCAGAGGGUACUGAGAAUAUUUCUUGAGCAACAGUUUCUUGUUGGGGAAUAUUAUUUUAAGUUGUGUGACUUUUGAUUAUGCUGCAUUUGUUUAAUUCUGGAAAACUGUGUUACUGUGCCUGUCCAAAACACCCGGUGGUCCUAAUAAAGAGGUGAAUGGCCAAUAGCAAGGUGGGAGCAAGGAUGGGUGGGGCCAGCAGGCAGAAAGGAUAAAUAGAAGGAGAAUAAGGAAGAGGAGAACAAGAACAACAAGAGAAGGACAUCAGGGGCCAGCCAUCCAGCCAUCCAGCCAUCCAGCCAUCCAGCCACCCAGCCACUCAGCCACCCAGCAACCACAGAAAAAAGGAAGAAUGACCAUGAAACUAAUUUGCUGCUCCACCGUAACCGUCCCAAGUGUCAAGCCAGCCACAGGACACUUUCUGCUGAGCUGCUGUUUCUUCAUGAUGUUGGCAAACCCUCGGGAUGCCAUAGGGUCCACAGAACAUUCUCUUCUGGACAAAGAUUCUCUUUCUAAUUUAGCCUUGGAAGGACAAACUCCAUGAUUUUGGGCAGACCAGUUCAAUGCAGCACUCAGCAGCUGACACUGAUUUAUUUGGCUGAUAUCACAUGACCUGUCUCUCGAAGAGAAUGAGAUUGAAGAUUACCAGUGACCUUUCUGCUAAGUUGCUUAGAAUCAUUUGAGCUGUGAAACUUUCUGAUAUCAGUGACAAACCAUGUCUUGAAAACAGCAUCAUUUGGGAAUAAUAAAUCAGCAAAUGUGUAACAGGCCUAUUCACUUAAGAGUCCUGGACACUGCUAAAGACACUAUAUGAGGACUUCAUCAAAU
rnacentral:lncRNA from 1 species